ACUGAGAUAGUUUAAAUAAAACAUCAGUUUGUGGCACCGAAAAUCAGAAAACUCUGUCUCAGUA
rnacentral:tRNA from 1 species